UUUUGUAUGUACCCUGACCAGGGAUCAAACCCACAACCUUGGCAUAUCAGGGCAGCACUCUAACCAACUGAGCUACCUGGCCAGGGCAAAUAUGUAGAAAUUACAAGUGUAAGUUGGACAUUCCCCGAGGGGUCCCGGAAUGCAAGAGGGCGCAGGCUGGACUGAAAGAUCCCCGAGUGCACAAAUUUCAUGCACUGGGCCUCUAGUAAAGUAAAUAGCAUAGUAACUUUUAUGGUGAUAGAUGGUUACUAGACUUAUUGUAGUAUUCACUUUGUAAGGUCUAUUAAUGUUGAAUCACUGUGUUGUUCACAUGAAAAUAAACUAUGUUAAUUAUAAUUAAAAAGGAGUUAAUUAUAAAUGUUAAAAAAUAGGAAAAAAUAGAGGCUUGAACUUUGUCAAGUUUUUGCUUCCUAUGUAUCCUUUCCAAAAACCUAUUUAGAUCUUCAGUAUUUGUCCACCUUUCAUUCUGUGUCAAGUGUAAAUGUAUACAUAUUGUUUCAUUUACGUCUAAGCCUGCUGUGUGAAUUUCUGCUUUUGUACUCCUCAAAGUUCAUUUACACCUGUUAAGUACUUUUAGUUGAGUGUAAAUUCUAAAUGAAAAGAGAAUGCUUUAAACUGAAGUAAAGUACAUAGGUAUGAGGUGUUUUUAUGAUACCUACUCAUUUCUGAGUUAAUCUUGACCAUAUUUUUCUUCAUUUCAUAAAUUAACAGCCCUCCACCCAGUGGCAACAUACUAAGACUGAUGAAUUGGGACAUCUCAAUAAAAAAUAUUCUGUUGCAGGGAGAGAUACAGUUCUCUAAAAGGCAAAACAUCAAGUACAGACUCUUUAAAAUUUAGGAGUCAGAGUAUCUCUAGGCACAUUGUGUUGCAGGCAUCGCCUCACAAAUCUGCCAACGCAUGUCCUUUCUGAGCUUCAACACAGCUGCUGUUCCAACAGUCCCUCUCCUCUCCUCUCCUUGAUGUAGUGGUUUAUGCUUUGCAUUGGUGUUUUGGUUUAUGAUGGGGAAGGCAAAAAUACAAAAGAAUCCCUUCCUCAUUUUUCUUAUGAUAGUAUGGGUUUCAACAAUGCAAUAAUGUGAAUUAAGUAGCAGUGACUUCUCUGGAUCAUUCUUAUACUAAGAAACAUGAAGGGCAUUCGGUGUUUUACAUAUAGAUGAGUGCAUUUAUAUAAAUAAGAAACUUUAAAGAAUAAGGUUACUUGUAAAGAUUAAGACACAUUAAAAAACUACAUGUUCUUACAGCAAUUUGUUCUAUCCUUUUUUUUCCCCUCUGUAACACAGUUAUUCCUCCCCCGCUCCCCACACAACAGAUUUAUAAUGUAAGAAUAGAAUCAUGGUGCAGCCUGCAACUCCCAGAGCAUGUGAUAUAAUGAAGGUGCUUCAGUAACUUUGGAGCAAAAAGGAAAUUCAAGGAAUGGUUGAAGAUAGAAGACUAUUGUUAGCUAGGGCAAGAAUCUCAAGGUCUGGGCUGUUUUUACUAAGUGCUAUUCUUGCCAUACGUUAAAAUGGAGCAGUUAGUUUGCAGAUGCAGCUGUCACCUGAUGAGCUUGAUGGGAAAGUGGGGCAUAGUCUUUGUUGUCUGAGAGUUUACAAUAUGACAUUUGAAUAUUUGGGAUGAGUGAAUCUAAGAGAAGUAUAAAAAUAAUAUUAAUAUGGUGAGUAUUUUAAAAGAGGAAUUAAUAAUGUACUAUUAAGAUUGAAAAGAGACCAUCUGUUGUGAAGAACCUGAAAAAGUUUCAUGGAAUUGGGUGGGAGUGUAAGAAUAGGUAUAAUUUUGAAAAGUAGGAUUGGAGUGAGUGGAGAAAACAGUGUGGUAAAGAUGCAGAAAUCUAAGUGAUUUAAUCUUUGAGCUUGUAGGUUUAUGUGAGACUUCAGUUGGUAUUAAUAGGAGUUACCCACUUAAUUCCCCCAGUCAUCACUGAAGCUGCAGGAACUCUAUUCCAAUGCAUUUUAUAUAUUUUUAGAAACCAAAUAAAUGCAGAUAACUAUUUAGUAUACUAAUUAUAUUAAACCAGCAGAAACAUAAAGGCAAUAAAGUAUAUACAUAUAUAUAUGGGGGGAAGGAAAGAUUAAAAAAUAGGUUUACAGCCAGACACGGUGAUAGCCCUAAAUGUACUAGUAUAUCUCAGCCUGUCUUUCUUUAUUUACCCCAGGAGGAUUUGAGUUGUUGCAUCUUUAAACAGAAAAUCAACACGUUUACUAAUUGUGGACGCAUAAAUAUGCUUUUAGUACUGCUUUGCUUAUGUACAAAUAAAAUAUCUGUAGUCUGUAAAAAAAAUCCUUAACUAUUUGGUCUUGGCUACUUUACAUGGCUAACUUUUUACUUAUUGCUGAAAGUGGUGAUGAGAUGGACUUGAAUAAUAUAAACUCUAUUGGAAAUAAACCUAAAUAAUUUAGACUCUUAUUGUAAAUAUAAACUUUAUGAUUAAUUUAUUGCUCUAGCAUGCAACCAACCAGUAUACUAAAAAUAGGAUUGUGGUAGCAUUGACUAGACUAUAGGAUCAUAUAGAAUUUACAGACUACUAGAACUGGAAGGGACACUGGAGGUCAGUAAUUUAUCAUGCUCAUUUUGAAGAUUAAGAACCAGGACCAGAGAGAUAAAUGAGUUGCCUGUUUUUCUACAGAUAUUUGCAGAGGUGAAUGUCUUAUAAAAUUUAUCUGUUAGAAUUGUUUGAAACAUACCUCUUAACUCAUUUUUGUUAAGGCAACUAAAUUUAAAAUAUUUAAUUUUUACAAAAUUUGCAGUCCAAUGUUUUCACUGCUUCCUACCCCUUUAUUAGAAAUCCCAUUUAUAUUUCUCAACUAGAAGAUGGUAAAAAAAUAUAUAUCAAAUAUAUAAUGUAUUUUGGGUGUAGUAGAGUUGGUGAAUGAGAUGGAUAGGAACAUAAUUAUGCCAGUUGGUUUAAGUUUUUCAGCCCCCAUAAACAUUAGAAGAAAUUUUAAACUAUCCUGAAAAUGGGGAGAUUUAAUCUACCACAAAAUAAGACUAGGAUUUUUAACAAAAAAAAUAUUUUUGAACUAUAAGCAAAAUCAAUUUACAUUUUUACUCUUUAUUAGCAAGAUACAUUUUAGGUCUGUUCUCAAUGCUAGCACUUCAUUGUAGUAUUAGAGAUACCAUUUUGUCCAGAGGUAAUUUUUUUUAACAGCCUUAUUAACAUAUAAUUAACAUACUAUAUAAUUUGCCCACUUAAAAUGUUCAAUUCAAUUUUUUUCAGUUAUGCAAUUGCAACCACAAUCUGAUUUUAGUACAUUCUCAUUACCCCUCGCCCCGCCACAAAGAAACUCUGUAUUCAUUAGCUUCCCAUUAUCCCCACAAAUCAUGCAGCCCUAGGCACCACUAUUCUGCUUUCUGUUUUCAUAGAUUCACCUAUUCUGGAUAUUUCAUAUAAAUAGAAUGACAUAGUAUAUCCUUUGUGAUUAGCUCUUUCACUUAGUAUAUGUUUUUAAGACUCAUCCAUGUAGCAUGUGUCAGUAUUUUAUUUUUUAUUGCCAAAAUAUAGUCCAUGUAUGAAUGUACCAAAUUUUAUUAUCAUCUGCUAGACAUUUGAGUUAUUUCUGCAAAUAUUUUCUCGAUUGUAUAGAUUGUCUUUUCUGAGAUUUGUUUUUUUGUGUGUGUGUUUUUAAUAAAGUUAACACAAUUUGAGAAAUAUAACUUACCACCUUUUAAUGGACCUGCAGGAAAGGAAAACCCUGAUACUACAUCUUUUAAGGAUAUUAUCCUUAGAAACUUGGAAAGAUUAGGAAGAAUGAAUUAAGGAACUGAGAAGUAUAGUGCAAGGUCAACUAUUUUAUUAUAGUAUUCUCCAGACUCUGUGUUUCGAUCCUGUUCUCUUUUUCUGGUGUUCCUUUUUCCAGCUUUUGAAAUCUCACUACACCUGAGGUACUUCAAAUAUAACACCUGUAUUCUUUGAGGUACCUCUGUUAUAGUAUACUAGA